CCUACGGGCGGCAGCAGUAGGGAAUCUUCCACAAUGGGCGAAAGCCUGAUGGAGCAACGCCGCGUGGGUGAAGAAGGUCUUCGGAUCGUAAAACCCUGUUGUUAGAGAAGAAAGUGCGUGAGAGUAACUGUUCACGUUUCGACGGUAUCUAACCAGAAAGCCACGGCUAACUACGUGCCAGCAGCCGCGGUAAUACGUAGGUGGCAAGCGUUAUCCGGAUUUGUUGGGCGUAAAGGGAACGCAGGCGGUCUGUUAAGUCUGAUGUGAAAGCCUUCGGCUUAACCGGAGUAGUGCAUUGGAAACUGGGAGACUUGAGUGCAGAAGAGGAGAGUGGAACUCGAUGUGUAGCGGUGAAAUGCGUAGAUAUAUGGAAGAACACCAGUGGCGAAAGCGGCUCUCUGGUCUGUAACUGACGCUGAGGUUCGAAAGCGUGGGUAGCAAACAGGAUUAGAUACCCGAGUAGUC
rnacentral:rRNA from 1 species